rnacentral:ncRNA from 1 species
CAACCUGAACUCAGUCGUGAUUACCCGCUGAACUUAAGCAUAUCAUUUAGCGGAGGAAAAGAAACUAAAAAGGAUUCCCUUAGUAACGGCGAGUGAAACGGGAAGAGCCCAGCGCCGAAUCGUUCAGUCUUUGGCUGCUACGACAUGUGGCGUAUAGGUGUAGUCUUCCAGCAGUAUCGUAUGUCCGAAGUCCUUACGAUUGAGGCCAUAAACCAGUAGAGGGUGCGAGCCCCGUUCUGGAUAGCGAUGCUGUUGGUUCGACUGCUCCUUGGAGUCGGGUUGCUUGAAAGUGCAGCCUAAAGUGGGUGAUAAACUUCAUCUAAGGCUAAAUAUCGACUCGAUUGCGAUAGCGAACAAGUACCGUGAGGGAAAGUUGCAAAGGACUUUGAAGAGAGAGUUCAAGAGAACGUGAAAUCGCUGGAGUGGAACCGGAGACAGUUGAUGUUGCUUGGAGACAAGUUUGGUGACUGGUCGCUUAGUUGUGAUCGUUGCCGGACGUCGUUUCCUAUGCUACGCCGACGGCGUUGGUCGCUCGUUCUAGCCCGAUAGUGUUGCCCAGCUCGCAAGAGUCGGUGUCUUGUUGUCGGUAGUUGGUUCGUGGCGGCUAGCGUUUAGUUACGCUAGUGUGUGUGACGUCGGUGUGAAAGUCGACGACGUUUCCGACCCGUCUUGAAACACGGAUUGCGGAGUGCUUGUCUACUGCGAGUCAAAGGGUGUCAAAACCUUGCGGCGUAAUGAAAGUAAAGGUCAGUCUCGAAUUGGCCGACGUGGGA